rnacentral:rRNA from 1 species
AUGGAGGGGACGAGUGAUCCCUAUGGUGGCCACAAUGGCAGCGAGAUCCUGCCGCCCAUGCAAGCUGUGGUGGUCGAGGCGCCGCAGCCGGCAGUGGUGCACAAGGUUAUGGCGCAGCCGGCACAAAGCUCAGCGAGCAAGAUGAAAGGGAAGGUGAAGGAAACCUUUUUCCCUGACGACCCGUUCCGGAGCUUCAAGGGGCAGCCGCUGAAGAAGAAGUGCCUGAUGGCGGUCAAGUACGUGUUCCCCGUCCUGGAGUGGGUGCCCGGCUACUCCUUGUCCCUCUUCAGGUCCGAUCUCAUCGCCGGCCUCACCAUUGCCAGCGUCGCCAUCCCUCAGGGUAUUAGCUACGCGAAGUUGGCAGACAUGCCUCCGCUUACAGGCCUAUAUUCGAGCUUCGUGCCGCCGCUGGUGUACACGCUGCUGGGGAGCUCCCGUGACCUGGCAGUAGGCCCGACGUCAAUCACGUCGCUCAUCAUGGGGUCCAUGCUGCAAAAGGGGGUGUCAGUGAGCCCCUCCGCGGAGCCGACGCUGUUCCUGCAGCUCGCCUUAACCUCCACCUUGUUCGCCGGCCUCCUGCAGGCCUCCCUCGGCAUCCUCAGGCUGGGCUUCAUCAUCGACUUCUUGUCCAAGGCGACGCUGCUAGGGUUCAAGGCGGGCGCGGCGAUCAUCGUGUCCCUACAGGAGCUCAAGGACCUGCUGGGAAUCGUCCACUUCACUGACGAAAUGAACCUCGUGACCGUCAUGGCCUCCGUCUUCCAGCACACCGACGAGUGGUCGUGGCAGACGAUACUGAUGGGUGCGUGUUUCCUCGUGCUCCUACUGUCAGCCAGACAUGUGAGCAUGAGAUGGCCAGAGUUCUUCUGGAUUUCAGCAUGUGCUCCCUUGGUAUCUAUCAUCAUAUCCACGGUGCUCAUUGACCUCUUCAAAGGACAGAACCACAACAUAAGCACCAUUGGGCAUCUCAAAUGUGGCCUGAAUCACCUGUCAUGGGACAAACUACUCUUUGAUCCAAAAUAUCUAGGACUCACUGUGAAGACUGGUCUCGUCACCGGUAUCAUCUCCCUUACAGAAGGAGUGGCUGUUGGCAGGACAUUUGCUUCAAUCAAGGACUACCAGGUGGAUGGUAACAAAGAGAUGAUGGCCAUUGGGUUGAUGAACAUUGUGGGCUCAUGUACAUCAUGCUAUGUUACAACAGGAGGAUUUUCUCGCUCUGCUGUUAAUCAUAAUGCCGGCUGCAAGACCGCCAUGUCCAAUGUGAUCAUGGCACUAACAGUCAUGGUCACACUGUUGUUUCUCAUGCCAUUGUUCGUCUACACCCCGAAUGUCGUCCUUGGAGCCAUCAUAAUUGUUGCUGUAAUUGGCCUGAUCGAUUUGCCCGCGGCAUACCAUCUCUGGAAGAUGGAUAAGAUGGAUUUCCUCGUGUGUUUGUGCGCAUUUAUUGGUGUCAUCUUCUUCUCAGUCCAACAAGGCCUCGCGAUAGCGGUUGGUAUAUCUAUAUUUAGGGUAUUGAUGCAAAUCACAAGGCCAAGAAUGAUAAUUCAAGGGAACAUAAAGGGAACUGAUAUUUACCGAAACGUCCUUCAGUAUGAGGAGGCUCAGAGAGUUCCUGGAUUCUUGAUACUAACAGUUGAGGCUCCUAUAAACUUCGCAAACACCAACUAUCUGAAUGAAAGGACUAAAAGAUGGUUAGAGGAUGAAAGUUUUUCAGGGAAUAAACAAACUGAACUCCGCUUUGUAAUCUUUGAUCUAUCAGCUGUCCCUGCAAUUGAUACAAGUGGCAUAGCGUUCCUCAUUGACCUAAAGAAACCAACAGAGAAACUUGGCCUAGAGCUUGUACUUGUGAAUCCAACUGGAGAGGUCAUGGAGAAAAUACAACGAGCGAACGACAAACAUAACCAUUUCAGGCCAGAUUGUCUCUAUUUGACUAUCGGGGAAGCAAUUGCCUCACUUUCUGGAGAGGCCAGUAUGGCAACACCAUAG